rnacentral:tRNA from 1 species
ACCUAGCUGGCUCAGUCAGUAGAGCAUGAGACUCUUGAUCUUGGGGUUGUGAGUUCCAGCCCCACGCUGCAUG